rnacentral:rRNA from 1 species
AUUGAACGCUGGCGGCAGGCCUAACACAUGCAAGUCGAGCGAGCGGCGGACGGGUGAGUAAUGUCUGGGAAACUGCCUGAUGGAGGGGGAUACCUACUGGAAACGGUCGCUAAUACCGCAUACCAUCAGAUGUGCCCAGUUGGGAUUAGCUAGUGGGGGGGGUAACGGCUCACCUAGGCGACGAUCCCUACCUGGUCUGAGAGGAUGACCAGCCACACUGGAACUGAGACACGGUCCAGACUCCUACGGGAGGCAGCAGUGGGGAAUAUUGCACAAUGGGCGCAAGCCUGAUGCAGCCAUGCCGCGUGUGUGAAGAAGGCCGUCGGGUUGUAAAGCACUUUCAGCGGGGAGGCGUUACCCGCAGAAGAAGCACCGGCUAACUCCGUGCCAGCAACCGCGGUAAUUC